rnacentral:tRNA from 1 species
GGUGGCUCAGUGGUAGAGUGCUUGCUUAGCAUGCAUGAGGCCCUGGGUUCCAUUCCUCAGCACCA